rnacentral:rRNA from 1 species
AGAAUCAACGCUGGCGGCGUGCCUAACACAUGCAAGUCGAACGAGAAAGUGGAGCAAUCCAUGAGUAAAGUGGCGCACGGGUGAGUAACACGUGACUAACCUACCCUUGAGUGGGGGAUAACCUAGGGAAACCUGGGCUAAUACCGCAUAAUACCUUCGGGUCAAAGGAGCAAUUCGCUUUAGGAGGGGGUCGCGGCCGAUUAGUUAGUUGGCGGGGUAAUGGCCCACCAAGACUGUGAUCGGUAUCCGGCCUGAGAGGACGCACGGACACACUGGAACUGAAACACGGUCCAGACUCCUACGGGAGGCAGCAGUGGGGAAUUUUGCGCAAUGGGGGAAACCCUGACGCAGCAACGCCGCGUGGAGGAUGAAGCCCCUUGGGGCGUAAACUCCUUUCGAUCGGGAAGAUAAUGACGGUACCGAGAGAAGAAGCCCCGGCUAACUUCGCGCCAGCAGCCGC